rnacentral:rRNA from 1 species
GGUCAAGCGAACAAGGGCGCAGGGCGAAUGCCUUGGCACUGGGAGCCGAUGAAAGACGUGAUAAGCUGCGAUAAGCUUCGGGGAGCUGCAAAUAAGCAUUGAUCCGGAGAUUUCUGAAUGAGGAAACUCAUCUGGGUUCAUACUCAGGUACGUUAUACUGAACUUAAAAAUAGGUAUAUCGAGGGAACCGCCUGAACUGAAACAUCUAAGUAGGGCGAGGAAGAGACAUCAAACGAGAUUCCGUAAGUAGUGGCGAGCGAACGCGGAAGAGGGCAAACCGGGAGUAGAAAUACUCCCGGGGUACGGACUGCUUUUAGGACUUAAUCUGUUAACCGAACGGCAUGGGAAGGCCGGUCAGAGAGUGUGAGAACCACGUAGGUGAAAACGGAGAGAGCUGCGCAGGAUCCAGAGUACGGCCAGACACGUGAAACCUGGUCGGAAUACGGGGGGACCACCCUCCAACCCUAAAUACUACCCAGUGACCGAUAGCGUAUAGUACUGUGAAGGAAAGGUGAAAAGCACCCCGGGAGGGGAGUGAAAAAGAACCUGAAACCCUGUGCCUACAAGCACCUAGAGCACGUCAAUGUGUGAUAGGGUACUUUUUGUAGAACGGUCCGGCGAGCGAUUGUAUGCAGCAAGGUUAAGGACUUAAGGUCUGGAGCCGAAGCGAAAGCGAGUUUGAAAAGGGCGUUAAGUUGCAUACAAUGGGCCCGAAACCGGGUGACCUACCCAUGGUCAGGUUGAAGUGGAAGUAAAAUUCCAUGGAGGACCGAACCGACCUCCGUUGAAAAGGCGGCGGAUGAACUGUGGGUAGCGGAGAAAUUCCAAUCGAACCCGGAGAUAGCUGGUUCUCCCCGAAAUAGUUUUAGGACUAGCCUCAAGUUAGAUACCUGGAGGUAAAGCACUGAAUAGCCUAGCGGCCGAGAGGUUAGCGAAGCUUAUCAAACUCAGAAUGCCAGAGUAUUGAUGCUUGGGAGUCAGACAGUGUCAGAUAAAUGUCAUUGUCAAAAGGGAAACAGCCCAGAUCUACAGCUAAGGUCCCAAAGUCAGGUUAAGUGGAAAACGAUGUGAAGAUACGUAGACAACCAGGAUGUUGGCUCAGAAGCAGCCACACAUUCAAAGAGUGCGUAAUAGCUCACUGGUCGAGCGUCUUUGCGCGGAGAAUUUAACGGGGCUAAACCUGACACCGAAGCUUAGGCAAUACAGCAAUGUAUUGGGUAGGGGAGCGUUGUAUACGCGGUGAAACAGUAGCGCAAGCGGCUGUGGAGUGUAUAGAAGUGAGAAUGCCGGAAUGAGUAGCGCGAAUGCAGUGAGAAUCUGCAUGGCCGAAAGCCUCAGGUUUCUGGAGGAAGGUUCGUCCGCUCCAGGUUAGUCGGGAGCUAAGGUGAGGCCUAACGGCGUAGCCGAUGCACAGACGGUAGAGAUUCCGUCACCACCAAAAGAGUUAAACACAGGGACACAUUUGAAGUCUCGGAGCCGGGUGUUGGUUCCGGUAGCGAUCGAGGGAAAUUAGUACCGAAGUCCGGGAUGGAAGAUGGCGAGAAAAGCUGUGUGUAUUUCUGCGGUGCCCGUACCGCAAACCGACACAGGUAGGUAGGAAGAAGAUUCUAAGGCCAACGGGAGAAGGGUUGUUAAGGAACUCGGCAAAUUGACCCCGUAACUUCGGGAGAAGGGGUGCUCCAGAGAUGGAGCCGCAGAGAAUCGGCCCAAGCAACUGUUUACCAAAAACACAGGUUUGUGCUAAAUCGAAAGAUGACGUAUACGAGCUGACGCCUGCCCGGUGCUGGAAGGUUAAGAGGAGAUGUGCAAGCAUUGAAUCGAAGCCCCAGUGAACGGCGGCCGUAACUAUAACGGUCCUAAGGUAGCGAAAUUCCUUGUCAGGUAAGUUCUGACCCGCAUGAAAGGCGUAAUGAUUUGGGCACUGUCUCGACAGCCCGCCCGGCGAAAUUGUAGUACCGGUGAAGAUGCCGGUUACCCGCGACAAGACGGAAAGACCCCAUGGAGCUUUACUGUAGCCUAAUAUUGGGUUUCGAUGUUGCAUGCACAGGAUAGAUGGGACACUGGGAAGCAAGAGCUUUGGCUUUUGUGGAGUGGCCGUUGGGAUACCAUCCUUGCGAUAUUGGAAUUCUAACCUGCGCCUUUGAAUCAAGGCGGGGGACAUUGUUAGGUGGGCAGUUUGACUGGGGCGGUCGCCUCCUAAAGAGUAACGGAGGCGUUCAAAGGUUCGCUCAGCUUGAACGGAAAUCAAGCAAAAGAGUGCAAACGCAGAAGCGAGCCUAACUGCGAGACUGACGGGUCGAGCAGUAACGAAAGUUGGAGUUAGUGAUCCGGUGGUAUGUGAGUGGAAAUGCCAUCGCUCAACGGAUAAAAGUUACCCUGGGGAUAACAGGCUGAUCUCCCCCAAGAGUCCACAUCGACGGGGAGGUUUGGCACCUCGAUGUCGGCUCAUCGCAUCCUGGGGCUGUAUUCGGUCCCAAGGGUUUGGCUGUUCGCCAAUUAAAGCGGUACGCGAGCUGGGUUCAGAACGUCGUGAGACAGUUCGGUCCCUAUCUGUCGUGGGCGCAGGAUAUUUGAUGGGAGCUGUUCCUAGUACGAGAGGACCGGAGCGGACGUACCUCUGGCGCACCAGUUGUUCUGCCAAGGGCAUAGCUGGGCAACUAUGUACGGAUCGGAUAAACGCUGAAAGCAUCUAAGCGUGAAGCCGACCCAAAGAUAAGAUAUCCCAUUGUUUUAAACAAGUAAGACCCCUUGAAGACUACAAGGUUGAUAGGCACGAUGUGUAAGUGGAGUGAUCCAUUCAGCAAGCGUGUACUAAUAGGUCGAGGGCUUGACCAC